GAGUACUGAAUGGAAGUCCUGUUUCAGAAGCUAAGGAUUCAACGGACUGGAAGAGAUCUCAGGAAUCUGCAUCCUGAAAUCUCUUUUAGGGAAAUCUCCAGAGUGAGGAGUUGGUUGGAACAUCACAAUCUGAGGAAUGCAGGAGGCCAGAAGAGGAAUCUAGAGAGUAAAGAUGGAUCCAUGUGCAGGACUGGAGGCUGCAGACUGAGAGUUAAAAGAGGUCUCCAGCGGUCACCAAGUUCACUCCUGACAGCCCAGGGUGCUGGACUCAGGCUCACAGGAAGUGGGAAGAGGAUCUGAAGCCCUGAAGCCCGACUGGCUGCGGAAAUUGACAUCAGGUGCCAGACAGGCAUUUGCUUAGCAAACUGGCUAAUUUUAACCUCUGCCUCCAGGACCAAAACUCUUUUGAAGACAAGGAAUAAAAA